AUUGAACGCUGGCGGCAUGCUUUACACAUGCAAGUCGAACGGCAGCACGGGUGCUUGCACCUGGUGGCGAGUGGCGGACGGGUGAGUAAUACAUCGGAACGUAUCCUAAAGUGGGGGAUAACGCAUCGAAAGAUGUGCUAAUACCGCAUACACUCUGAGGAGGAAAGUAGGGGAUCGAAAGACCUUAUGCUUUUGGAGCGGCCGAUGUCUGAUUAGCUAGUUGGUAAGGUAAUGGCUUACCAAGGCAACGAUCAGUAGUUGGUCUGAGAGGACGACCAGCCACACUGGGACUGAGACACGGCCCAGACUCCUACGGGAGGCUG
rnacentral:rRNA from 1 species